GUCACUCUGCCCUCCUCGUUCUGGAAGUGCGCUUUCCACCAAUCCGAGCGCCACGUGGGGGUGAUGGAUGCCGGCCCGUGGCCAAUGAGGAGGAGAGGCUGGCGGCGAGGAGUGGGCGGGCCCGCGCUCUCGCUCCCUCCUCCCGCGCGGUCCUCCAGCCCUCCCGGCCCGGGCAUGCUGCUCCUACGCCUGAAAGUCUUCCAUGGUCCCACCCACUGUUCAAAGGCAAAGCCCAGCUUAUAGAAAUGGCUUCCAAGGCCAUUUGUGAUCAGCCCCUGCCUCACAUCCGAGUCCUGUCUGUGUCCUGGAAGGUUGGAUUGACUAAGUCUGACUUCAGCAGUAAUGGAUCAAAGACUUGAAAGCUGCCAAUGUACCGUCCGAGAGUGCUGUCUGCCUGGAGAAAUGCAGAGGUUCAGGGACACGGUUUCAUACUCGGCAUGUGCACAGGUCUAGAUUCAGAUAAAGAGUUGUCUAGGCCUGGGAAGGGAAAUGUUUUGAUUAACACUGGCAUUCGGCAGGGACCUCACUCGGUGUCCUGGUUCAGGCAGCUACUGUUUAUUUAUUCAAUACAAUGAGACAAAGUCAUUGAAGUCCCUAUUGCUGGUAAUUGUCUCAGAAAUUGCAUUCCUUGGCCUCACAAUUAGUUUGAUACAAAGCAGGGAGACACUUGGGUUAAUAACCUUGAGUUUUUAUGACUCAAUCAAUAUUUUGGUUGCUGCAGGCUGCUUUGCAAUUGUAAAUUUUGAGUACAGUGCUUGUGGAGUGUGUAAAUAUUUAGCCAGCCAUUGAAGCAUCAAUUAAUGAAAUCAUUCCUUUAAUUUAGAAGACACCAUUGGCAGCGUGUUGCUAUGAGGUAUUUAUGCUAGUUACUCUCAUAGCUGGGAAACUGGAAUGCUGUCGUGCUCUGUGGCAUAUUACUUUGCCGCUUCACAGGCCCUUACUGCAAAUAUUUCUUGUGGAUUAGCUGCCUUCAGACAGGGCUGCCUAGCCGAGGCCCUUGCCACAGAUGGCUUUGACCUGAUUCUGACUUUAUAACCAUGCUUCUCUGUCUGCUUAAGAUUUGCAGUGUUUUAUUCCAGUGCUUGCUAAUCUCACAGAGUGCUGGGAGUCACAACUGAGAGGGAUUGCUCCAUCCUUCUUUUUAGAGUGGGAUACUGUUAAAAGGAGAAAACCCUGCAUAGUCAGAGCCCCCCCCAAUGGCUCUCAAGUACCAAAGCACUGAGUUCAGUGAUACUUUCUUUUAACUGGGUAUUUUUCUUUUCUUCUUCUGUAAAAUUUGGGUUUUGAGUCAGGCAUGGUGGUGCACGCCUUAUUCAAUCCCAGAACCCAGGAGGCAGAUGCGGGCAGAUCGCUCUGAGUUUGAGGACAGCCUUGUCUACACAGCGAGUUCCAGGUUAGCCAGGGCUACAGAGUGAGCCCCUGCAUGCCCCCCCCAAAAAAAAACCCACCAUGGUUUUGGGGCCUAGGGAGAUGACUAGUGGUAAAAGCACUUGCUGCUCAAGCGUGAGAACCAGAGCUUGGGCACCGAGAACACAUGUAAAUGCCGGUUGGCUGUGGAUGUCCACUGGUGAUUGACAGCUUCGAGUCCCCAGAGUAGGCUGGCUAGCAAGAGUAGCCAUGUUGGCAAGCUCUGGGUUUGAUUGAGAGAGUCUGCUACAACGAAUAAGGUAUAAGAGCACUCAAGGAAUAUUGCCCGCACAACUGUGGGACACCAAAUACACACUCAUAUGAAUGUACCUAUACACAAGCAAAAUGUAUACACGCACGCUUACUGCACACAGAUCAAAAUGGAGAAGGAACUGGGUUUGUGUUUUUGAGACAUGGUCUAAGGUGUAUCAGGCAGGCCUUGAGAUCCUGAAUCUUCUGCUUCCCCCUUCUGAGUGCUGGGAUCAGAGGUGUAUAGCAAUACACCUGGUACUCAACUGGUUGUUCGUCUAAAUCCAAGUUUCCCAAACUAUGCUCCUGGGAAUAUGUUUUCCUGGCUUGCUAAAAGGAUUCUACUUUGCUUCUGUUUGGAAAGUCAAAUUUUAAAAAAAUGGGGAGAAGAAAGAGAAGGAGGAGGCUGCAUCAUCUAGUUAUUAGCUUCUUCAAGCCAAAAGACAUCUUGAGGAUGAAGAAGUGUGCAUACUGUGACCUAUAGUUUUCAACUUGAACUAUUAGGGGGAUUUUAACUCCUUCAUCCUAGAAGGGAGUUAUCUUAAUGCAAUUGUGCUAAUACAUAAUUUCUUGGUGUUGUCGCAAUCACAAACAUGGAAUACAGACUGAGUACUAAAGGACACUAAAGUGUAGUGUUCCAUGCCUGCUAAUCCAGCUGCACGAGAAGCUUAGGCUGGAGGACUGAUGGUUUUGAUUUUUAUCGAGACAGGGUUUCUCUGUGUAGCCCUGGCUGUCUUAGAACUCACUUUGUAGACCAGGAUGGCUUCAAACUCACAGAGAUCUGCCUUCCUCUGCCUCCCAAGUGCUGGGAUUAAAGGCAGGCGCCAUCACCAUCCCACUAAUGCCCAACUUUUAAAUUCAGAUCCUUGUCCUUGCAAUGCUGGUACCUCACUGACUGAGCUCUCUCCUGGAAUCCCCCCACCCUGAGAUACAAUAUUGCUAUGUGGCCCAGGCUAGCCCCAAAAUUCAGUCCUCCAGCCUAAGGUAGGCAUAGUGUCACACACUUGUAACCCCAGUGCCAGGAAGGUAGAGACUGUCUAAAGAAACAAACAAACAAACAACAAAACCAAGUUGAUAGAGCCUGAGGAACAACACACAAGGUUGUCAUCUUGUACACACCCAAGCAUACAAGUACAUGAACACUGGCAAACACAUUCACUUACACACAUGAACAUGCACACACAUGCAGCAAAUAGAGAGAAUAAAUUCUUUCCCCUUUCAGUCAUGCAUACCAAAGUACACACAGACAAAACCACAUAUUGCCUAGAAUUUCCUUUAAGACACCUCAACAGCACUGAUCAGUCCAUGGUCAGAGGACAGGGACUCUGUAUUUUCCAAUUUAGAAUACAGUCUCAGUCUAUUGCCCUUGUUGGGACUAAGUUAUCCUCCAGCCUGAGUCUCCCAAUUAACUGGAACUGUGGACACACAGUCUGCCCCUGGGCUAGGACCCUGUCUUUUUCAUCUGCAUUAGUCUAUUGCUCAAACAUAGCCUUCAACCCCCAAAGAUGAAAAGCUCCUGCUCCUUGAAAUCACUGAAAGACUCAUACAACUGUAUUCACACACCAUUGCUCCACCACAUCUAGCUGCAAGAGAGGCUAGGCAAUAUAGUUUCUACUCCAGAUCUCCUCCUAGUUGAAGCUUAAUUGAAUCUGUGUCUUAUUUUAGAAUUUCUAUUGCUGUGAAGAGACACCACGACCAUGGCAACUCUUAUAAAGGAAAACAUUUAAUUGGGGCUUGCUGUGGGAUGGUCUGUAUGUCAAAUGUGUUGCUGAUUGGUCAAUAAAUAAAUCACUGAUUUGGCCAGUGGCCAGGCAGGAAGUAUGGGCGGGACUAACAGAGAGGAGAAUUGAGAGAACAGGAAGCUGGGUGGGGGAGACACUGCCAGCCACCAUUAGGACAAGGAAGAUGUAAAGUACCGGUAAGCCACAAGCCACAUGGCAAGGUAUAGAUUAAUAGAAAUAAAUUAAUUUAAGCUGUAAGAACAGUUAGCAAGAAGCCUGCCACAGCCAUACAGUUUGAAACCAAUAUAAGUUUCUGUGUUUACUUGGCGGGUCUGAUGGCUGUGGGACUGGCGGGUGAGAGAAAUUUGUCCUGACUGUGGGCCAGGCAGGAAAACUCUAGCUACAGGGGCUGGCUUACAGCUCAGAGGUUUAGUCUAUUAUCAUCAUGGUGCAUGGUGGUAUUGUGUUCCCCAAAAUAUUGUUCACCCUAAUAAACUUAUCUGGGGUCAGAGACAGAACAGCCACUAGAUACAAAGGCUAGAAAAUGGUGGCACUCACACCUUUAAUCCUAACUCCAGAGGUAGAAAUCCCUCUGGAUCUCUGUGAGUUCAAGGCCACACUGGAAAUGGCCAGGCAUGGUGACACACGCCUUUAAUCCCAGAAAGUGAGCCUUUAAUCCCAGAAAGCAAGCCUUUAAUCCCAGGGAGUGGUGGUAGAAAGCAGAAAGGUAUAUAAGGCGUGAGGACCAGAAACUGGAAGCAUUUGGCUGGUUAAGCUUUCAGGCUUCUAGCAGCACAGUUCAGCUGAAAGCCAUUCAGAUAUGAGGACUCAGAGGCUUCCAGUCUAAGGAAACAAGACCAGCUGAGAAGUUGGCCAGGUGAGGUUAGCUGUGGCUUGUUCUGUCUCUCUGACCAUCCAGCAUUUCACCCCAAUAACUGGCCUCAGGUUUGAUUUUAUUAAUAAGAACUGUUAAAAAUUCCUGCUACAAUGGUGGGAAAUAGAGCAGACAUGGUGCUGGAAAAGGAGCUGAGAGUUCUACAUCUUCAUCUGUAGGCAGCAGGAAGAGACUGUGUCACACUAGGCCUAGCUUGAGCAUAUAAGACCUCAAAGCCCGCCCCCACAGUGACACACUUCCUCCAGCAAGGCCAUAUCUACUCCAACAAGGACACACCUCCUAAUAGUGCCACUCCCUAUGGGCUAAGCAUUCAAAUACUUGAGUCUGUGGUGGCCAUUCCUAUUCAAACCACCACAAUCUGUCUAUCAUCUAUCUUUCUAUCUAUCUGUCUGCCUGUCUAUCAUCUACCUACCUACUGAGCACCUUGAGAAAAAGUCAAGAGGUCAAGGCUGGUCCUGCAGAGACCGUUGCCCCUCUUCAAUGGAAAGCUCAUUGUCUUCAAUGUAAUGAUGUAGGAUAAUAAACCAGUUUCCUGCUGUUUCAAGUGUCACUCGGGUCUCUUUACAUUGGGGAACAUCUAUUGUAUUGGCACUCACUGAUAAACUAUUUAGACAAGGCAGCCUUCAAAUUGUGAAAGAAAUAGCCCAAGUGUCUGUGGAGCCGUCACAGCCCCA